UCGCCUGGUUUUGCUUUGUUGCUUGUUUUGGCGCUCCUUGUGAGGGGAGGCGCCACGUAUGAUCUUAUACCCCCAGUGAAUGCCUGGCUGACUUUGGCGCAGAGUGCCAUAAAUACUACGGCCUUUUGCUUGCCCCAUGUUCCUGCAGUGGGAGCUGUUAUGGAAACCUGCUUUGUGGGUGUUUGUACCGAAUUGGAGGUGUUGCAGCGGUACACCUGGCUGUUUCACUGGCUGUUUCGUAUUUCCAAGGAUAUACCUUAUGAGGAGUUGUAUGCUUUGGGGCCUGGAGCCUUUUCAUAUAAGCUAGAUGCCAAUGCGAGUGCGGCUAUCGAAGCAGAUCUGGAUCGUUUGCGCCAUCUAGCGGAGGGCAUUCGCCAGCACCAGGGUGAUUUCUGGUUGUGGUCAUGGCUGUCGUCGCUACGUGGCUGGGCUGCACAUUUAUUACAGGGGUUAAUGUUAGGCAUGCUUUGUAUUUUUGUUGCCUGCCUUUU